rnacentral:pre_miRNA from 1 species
GAUAUCAACUGAAAAAGUCAUCAACAACAAAGUUGAAUAACUCAUCAAGAUCUGAAACUUUUAUUUUGGUCAUUUCUUCAUACGACAAAGUGAUAGUAACAUUAUUCACAAAAUUAACAUAUCUCUUAUCUGGUUUUAUAAACAUAACAUAUAUAUGUAAAAUUUGUGAAUAAUAUUACUAACAUUUCGUAUGAAGAAAUAACAAAAAUAAAAGUUUUAGAUCUUAAUGAGUUAUUCAACUUUGUUGUUGAUGACUUUUUCAAUUGAAAUC